rnacentral:rRNA from 1 species
AUUGAACGCUGGCGGCAUGCUUUACACAUGCAAGUCGAACGGUAACAGGCCUUCGGGCGCUGACGAGUGGCGAACGGGUGAGUAACGCAUCGGAACGUGCCCAGUCGUGGGGGAUAACGCAGCGAAAGCUGUGCUAAUACCGCAUACGAUCUGCGGAUGAAAGCGGGGGACCUUCGGGCCUCGCGCGAUUGGAGCGGCCGAUGUCAGAUUAGGUAGUUGGUGGGGUAAAAGGCCUACCAAGCCUGCGAUCUGUAGCUGGUCUGAGAGGACGACCAGCCACACUGGGACUGAGACACGGCCCAGACUCCUACGGGAGGCAGCAGUGGGGAAUUUUGGACAAUGGGCGCAAGCCUGAUCCAGCCAUGCCGCGUGCGGGAAGAAGGCCUCGGUGUAACGCUUUGUCAGGGAGAAACGCUCUGGGCGUAAUACCCUGGGGUAAUGACGGUACCUCGAAGAAUAAGACACCGGCUAACUACGUGCCAGCAGCCG